CCGGCCGUGGGAGCUGCCAGCAACUCGCCCUCCCGCUGCCCACAGGCCCUGCCAGGCUGGGCGCAAGAAAGCGUGUUUACUAACACCAUCCACACGGCUCCCUGGGCACCGCGGCUCUGCCCAGAAGAUGUCAGGCCGAGGGCACCGGGAGGCUUCUCUACCCUGCUAGGAAUCUUCUCUGUGUUCUUCUGAUGGUCCACGGCCCUCCAGCUAAACACAUUUCCCCCAGUGGGUGUCACACUGCCUGAUCUCUCGCCAUGAUUUCCUUAGAUUCCUGGUGAAUCAACUCUACAGGGUUUGGUCAACUCGCUUCUGUUGCUGCCUUCACUCAGGUUUCGUGCCUCAAAUCUGAUCUGGGCUGUGGACCUCGAGGUUGCCUGUGUCCCGAGGAAAGGGAAUCUCCGGCCUCAGCAACUGGAUGGGGAGAAUAACUUUGGGAGAUUUCCAGGUUCCUGCGUGGUCACCUGCGGUCCCCUUGAGGCCAGCCCUGCCGUGCACGGACCUGUAGAGCAUAAGUCUCUAGGGUGAUGCAGAGGGCUCCCCUAUGGGCAGAACUGAUAAGAGUGUAGGAGAUAGGAAAGGGGUCCAGUCCGUGAGGAACCAGCUACUUUGGCCAGGGAAGUAGUGCUUGUGUGUUAACCAUCUGCCCCGUGUCCACUGUCCUCUCUAUGCUGGGCGGCACGUCGUCCCGUCCAAGCCUUUCAUUCACUCCUCACAGAGACUCUCUGCAGCAGAAGUGACCGACCUGGGUUUGGAGACAGGAAGGUGAGACCCCGGUUUCUGAGACCUGCCCAGGGCGACCAGCCAUGGACCAGAAAACUCAGCUCUAUUCGACCGAGAAACUCACCUCUCUUUCCCGAUUCAUCCUCCUUCCCCCCCCCCCCAGAUUUCGGGGUGUCUCUUCUAAACUGCGACCUUCAGAACCAGUUGCCAGUGGCGAAGUCAACAAAGGUGUCCUUAAUGACUCCACUCCACAACCACCCCAGGCUGCCCCAUCCCUUUCUGGCAACCAAGAGCAGCCUCCUGCCUCUAAGCCUCCACGUCGGCCUGUCCCUAGCUCAUUUCUCAGGUAACUGCUAGGAGAAGAAUCCUAAAAGGCACAUUGCUGAGAAAUGAAAUGGAAGAAAAUAAUGACGGAAAGAAAGAUGAAGGCAUGAAAGAAAAUAAGGACCCAGCAUGUUUGAUGUGACCCCCCACUUACGGGAAAUCAUAUAGGUGAGCACAUCUAUGUCUAAGAACAUUGAGAUGCAUGGAGAGAGACAGAGACAGACAGAGACAGAGAUUUAGGCUUAUGUCUUGUGUUGUGGAGGCCAUUGAUGUGUAGCCAGGCACUAAGUUCACCUGAGGAACAAGCCAAACAUGA